CGGUGGAGCAUGUGGUUUAAUUCGAAGCAACGCGAAGAACCUUACCAGGCCUUGACAUGCAGAGAACUUUCCAGAGAUGGAUUGGUGCCUUCGGGAACUCUGACACAGGUGCUGCAUGGCUGUCGUCAGCUCGCGUCGUGAGAUGUUGGGUUAAGUCCCGUAACGAGCGCAACCCUUGUCCUUAGUUACCAGCACGUUAUGGUGGGCACUCUAAGGAGACUGCCGGUGACAAACCGGAGGAAGGUGGGGAUGACGUCAAGUCAUCAUGGCCCUUACGGCCUGGGCUACACACGUGCUACAAUGGUCGGUACAAAGGGUUGCCAAGCCGCGAGGUGGAGCUAAUCCCAUAAAACCGAUCGUAGUCCGGAUCGCAGUCUGCAACUCGACUGCGUGAAGUCGGAAUCGCUAGUAAUCGUGAAUCAGAAUGUCACGGUGAAUACGUUCCCGGGCCUU
rnacentral:rRNA from 1 species